rnacentral:rRNA from 1 species
GAACUGAAGAGUUUGAUCAUGGCUCAGAUUGAACGCUGGCGGCAGGCCUAACACAUGCAAGUCGAGCGGAUGAAGGGAGCUUGCUCCUGGAUUCAGCGGCGGACGGGUGAGUAAUGCCUAGGAAUCUGCCUGGUAGUGGGGGAUAACGUCCGGAAACGGGCGCUAAUACCGCAUACGUCCUGAGGGAGAAAGUGGGGGAUCUUCGGACCUCACGCUAUCAGAUGAGCCUAGGUCGGAUUA